rnacentral:tRNA from 1 species
GACUCCGUAGCCCAAUGGAUAAGGCGCUGGUCUACGGAACCAGAGAUUCUGGGUUUCGAUCCCCAGCGGAGUCG